UUACGGAAGGCAGCAGUGAGGAAUAUUGGACAAUGGGCGCAAGCCUGAUCCAGCCAUGCCGCGUGCAGGAUGACGGUCCUAUGGAUUGUAAACUGCUUUUGCACAGGAAGAAACAUCCCGACGUGUCGGGACUUGACGGUACUGUGAGAAUAAGGAUCGGCUAACUCCGUGCCAGCAGCCGCGGUAAUACGGAGGAUCCAAGCGUUAUCCGGAAUCAUUGGGUUUAAAGGGUCCGUAGGCGGUCUUAUAAGUCAGUGGUGAAGUCUCCCCGCUCAACGGGGAAACGGCCAUUGAUACUGUAGGACUUGAAUUAUUAGGAAGUAACUAGAAUAUGUAGUGUAGCGGUGAAAUGCUUAGAGAUUACAUGGAAUACCAAUUGCGAAGGCAGGUUACUACUAAUGGAUUGACGCUGAUGGACGAAAGCGUGGGUAGCGAACAGGAUUAGAAACCCCGGUAGUCCU
rnacentral:rRNA from 1 species